rnacentral:snRNA from 1 species
AUCGCUUCUCGGCCUUUUGGCUAAGAUCAAAUGUAGUAUCUGUUCUUAUCAGUUUAAAUACAAAGUAAAAAGAAAUAUACAUAAACUUCCCUCAUAACCGAUUAUAAAGUAAUUUGGAGAUACAUAAAAAUUACUUUUGAAGAUUAUAAACUAU